rnacentral:lncRNA from 1 species
AACAGUUACCUGUACCUGUACUGCUCGGUUGGGGUACCGUCUCCAGGGACACCCUGUCCAAACCCCCGACGCCGCCAUGUUCUCCUCCCACCCAUCACCGACUCGCCGUCAUCUCCCCACCGUCGUGAUUUGCCGUUCGAUUAGCGCGCAAAGCGCGGUCAACUGUGCUUAUAUAGAUCCGCCGGCCAUGCCUCCGAGCAGAACACACAUCUGCCACACUUCACUCGCGAGCUAGAGCGACCCAUGGCGUCGCGUAUCCGCGCGCCACAGCGCUUCUCCUCCUCGCGCUCUCCUCCUGCUGCUGCUAGUGCUCCCCCUCGCCAAUGCGCACCCCAUGAC